rnacentral:tRNA from 1 species
CGCGGGGUGGAGCAGUUCGGUAGCUCGUCGGGCUCAUAAUCCGAAGGUCGCAGGUUCAAAUCCUGUCCCCGCAA